AACAAGAUGGAAAUCAACUUUUUACAAAGUCUGACAGUGGUAGGACAAAGGGAAGAGUUUUAAACUAAAAGAGGGGAGAUUUAUAUUAGAUGUUAGGAGAAUUCUUUACUCAGAGCAUGGUGAGGUGCUGGAACAUGUUCCCCAGUUCACCUGUGGACUCCCCAUCCCUGUAGGCAUUCAAGGCCAGGUGGGAUGGGUCCCUGAGUGGCAUGGUCUGGUAGCUGGCAAACCCCAUGGCAAGGGGUUGGAACUUGAUGAUCUUUAAGGUCCAUUCCAGCUCAAGCUUUUCUAUGAUACUCUGAUUCUUUUCUUAGCAAUCUGCACAAGACCUAGAUCAUGUCCACACACCUUUGGCUGCCUGUGUGAACGCGUGCCUUGCUCUAUGCAGGCUGGAGGAGACACUCAACUCUCUCUCCAUAAGGGAUCUUGUACGGACCUAGAACUGAAGGAGAACAAAAAACAAAGGUGGAUUUGGCCUAGAAACUCCACUUUGCAUGGAGAGUGAGAGGAGUUGUGUGGAUGACAAGGAGGUAGAUGCUGUGGGGUGGCAAAAAGCUCACCUGAAGAAAGACUGACAACAAGUGAAGAAAUCUGCCACUUCUGAACCAGAAAAUCAGUACAUGGCAAGUUGUUAAUACCAAGCUUGCCACAACAUGUAUAGCAGAUUUUCAGGUGCAUCGCCUGAUCAACUGUUGUGUUUUAGAUGUUCCAUUAGUGUCAGGAAAAGGGGACAAGUUACUGUAUCUAGUAGAAACAUUUCUUCCAUGGGGUAUGCAAUCUGGGACAACACCAAAGCCUUUUACAUGUGCUGAGAAAGGUCUAUCUGAGAUGUGGUCCCCAGUCAGGGAAAAGCUAGACCAGCUUCUUUAGAGUUGUUGUUUGAAGAUUAUAACUCGUGUUUGUGCUCCAGCUACAGGAGCAUUUUGUAGUCAUUCUGUGAAGACAGCUUCCAUCCACCAUAUCUUCCAUCAUUCCUUCUCUAUUCAUAAACAGCAGGUCUAGUAGGGCAUCUCCCCUGGUAGGCUUUCUUUCCAGCUGUGUUAGUUUUGUAUCCAUAGUUUUAUUGUUCAUAUUCUUUAUUUCUUAACCCCAGCACAACACCCCAGUGCUACAACUUGAAAAGCAGCAAAACACGAUGCCUCAACUGUCUGCACAAUAUGAUGAACAAGAGGAUGAUAUGAAAGAAGGUAGAAGGAUCUCACUUGGAAAGCCAGGGAAGAGGUUGGUGGUGCCUUAGCCUCAGCUCUGGCCAGCUGUACCCUGUUGUCCCCAUGGAAAGCGCACACACUUUUUCCCCAUGCUUCACUCAAUAAAU
ensembl:lncRNA